rnacentral:rRNA from 1 species
GGACUACUAGGGUAUCUAAUCCUGUUCGCUCCCCACGCUUUCGCUCCUCAGCGUCAGUACCGGCCCAGACCAUCGCCUUCGCUGCUGGUGUUCCUCCUGAUAUCUGUGCAUUUCACCGCUACACCAGGAAUUCCAUGGUCCCCUACCGGACUCGAGUCAUGACAGUAUCGAAUGGCGGCCCCAGGUUGAGCCUGGGGGUUUUACAUCCGACUUAUCAAACCGCCUACGAGCUCUUUACGCCCAAUAAAUCCGGACAACGCUUGCACCCUACGUAUUACCGCGGCUGCUGGCAC